GACGAACGCUGGCGGCGUGCUUAACACAUGCAAGUCGUGCGGUAAGGCCCUUUCGGGGGUAAACAAGCGGCGAACGGGUGAGUAACACGUGAGCAACCUGCCCUUCCCUUGGGGAUAACUGCCGGAAACGUUGGCUAAUACCGGAUAUGACUUCCCCACGCAGGUGGGGUGGUGGAAAGCCUUCGGGUGGUGGGGGAUGGGCUCGCGGUCUAUCAGCUUGUUGGUGGGGUGAUGGCCUACCAAGGCUUCGACGGGUAGCCGGCCUGAGAGGGUGACCGGCCACACUGGGACUGAGACACGGCCCAGACUCCUACGGGAGGCAGCAGUGGGGAAUAUUGGACAAUGGGCGAAAGCCUGAUCCAGCAACGCCGCGUGAGGGAUGACGGCCUUCGGGUUGUAAACCUCUUUCGCCUGCGACGAAGCGAGAGUGACGGUAGCAGGUAAAGAAGCACCGGCCAACUACGUG
rnacentral:rRNA from 1 species